rnacentral:misc_RNA from 1 species
UUUUCGUAGGUGAACCUGCGGAAGGAUCAUUAUUGAAGCAACAGAGUGCACUUCAUUGUGGCUCGACCCUUCAUAUCCAAUCACACUGUGCACUGUAAUACCUUUUUAUUAGACCCUACAAGUCAAAGAAUGUACCACUUUAAUAAAGUAAACAAAACUUUCAACAACGGAUCUCUUGGUUCUCGCAUCGAUGAAGAACGCAGC